AGCUUAUUUACAUGGAUUACUAUUCUCUACCAACAGCUGAAAGCUAAUCACUUUUUGAUUCUACUUCUGGUUUGGUCUACUGCCAUAUCCCAUAGACACAUAUUAAAGAGAUUGUUUCAACUGUACCUGCCAUAUUUACAAACAAAGAGAGACACGUAUUGAGAUUACAACAGUCCCCACGGAGACACUGAGCAUCACCUUGCUGGACCAAACGGAUGGCACCGAGACAAUAAAUCAGGUUGUGCUAACACAGUAUGCCAACAUGCUCAGCAAAGCCAAACAUUUGUUG